GACGAACGCUGGCGGCGUGCUUAACACAUGCAAGUCGAACGGUAAGGCCCUUCGGGGUACACGAGUGGCGAACGGGUGAGUAACACGUGGGUGAUCUGCCCUGCACUUCGGGAUAAGCCUGGGACACUGGGUCUAAUACCGGAUAGGACCACUGCCUGCAUGGGUGGUGGUGGCAAGCUUUUGCGGUGUGGGAUGGGCCCGCGACCUAUCAGCUUGUUGGUGGGGUGAUGGCCUACCAAGGCGACGACGGGUAGCCGGCCUGAGAGGGUGACCGGCAACACUGGGACUGAGAUACGGCCCAGACUCCUACGGGAGGCAGCAGUGGUGAAUAUUGCACAGUGGGCGCAAGCCUGAUGCGUCGACGCCGCGUGAGGGAUGACGGCCUUCGGGUUGUAAACCUCUUUCAGCACCGACGAAGCGCAAGUGACGGUAGGUGCAGAAGAAGGACCGGCCAACUACGUGCCAGCCGCCGCGGUAA
rnacentral:rRNA from 1 species